CACAAGGUUUUAAAAUCAAUACGAAUUCUAAAUUAGCGAUCUGAAUAAAUAAAUUGUGUAUAAGUUGAAAGCCUUACUAAGCUGCAGUAUUCGUCUUCACUGCGCUAUUCACAUCUUUUAUAGACAUAUAGUCUUAAAAACGCAGAAAAAUAUCAGCAACUGGCGAAGGUUGCUCAGCGGUGGUGGUCACUAAUAAUAAAUUUCAGUAAGACUUGAUGCGAAUUUUAUGGAAGAGGCAAUAACUCCUGGGAAUAAAGCAUUAUGAAUGACAAGAGUAACUUCCCUUGAAUAUUCUCCCAUAUUGUCAAAAUGGAAUUAAAAGAUUUGAUAAUAAAUUGUUUUAUUUUAUAAUUCACUUAGAUUCGUUGCUUAUAGUUUUGUAACGGAUCAAUCACUGCUCCGCAGCGUUUUUCGAUUAUGCAACUUAAAAAGAAAUGAAUGAAAGUUGAUGUAAGUGGGGCGAAAAUAUACGACGAAAUUUUGGCUGAAAUCACGACUUGGUUAUUUUCCAGACUAAAUUAAUAAUCUUUUGCCGAUUUCCAUCAGAGGAAUGUAAAAACACAAACACAUACGUAUAUUUGUAUGUAGCUAGAUUAGUCAAGGCCGGAAUAGCUUCUCAUCUGUUCAAUCAAGGUCAACUUUCGGCUAAACAACAACACUUUGUUGUUGUUUUACGUGGGAGGAGAGAUUUAGCCUUUUAUUUAUUUAUUUACUUCUCUCCCCCAGAUGAGGGCAAUGUCUAAUUUCUUGGUGCCAAAGUAUUAUCGAAAGGAUUUGAGCAUAAACUGCUCGACUUUGUAACGUAUACAAAGAGGGGAAGACACGGUUCGUUGAUUGACUAAGAAACGAAUUUUAAAAUAAACUUGUACUUCGACCUUCCAACAGAGAAAUCUAGAAAUUCAAUGGCAUUUUUUCUUAACAACAGUUCCUUCCUGUCUCUCAUUGGUUUAUAUCGUAAGUGAAGACAUCUGUUAAGAAAGAAACUUGUUCCUCUUUAACCAAGAGCCUAAAACAGAGAUUUUGCAUGAUGUUAAAUUAUACCAUUUCAUUAGAAAACGGUUACAUGUACCAAUUCCAGUUCGAGGCUUCGACGGUGAUCCUCGUAUUCGUUAUAGUCGUUUGCACCUGCCUCUUCUUUAUAACGUGUUGCUGUCAAUUCCACACUUGGUGUUCAAGAUGUCAACAACAAAAAGAGACAGUGAGACACACCAAGAACCUUCGUAAAAAUUGUAGAAAACUCAAGAGAAAAUGGAAUAUCUUCUGACAGCUGACAGAUACAUACAUCCACCAUACACACACACACACAUAUAUAUAUAUAUAUAAAUGAAUUCUUUGAAAUACCUAUUUGUAUGUAUAAAUGUAAAACUGAGUCCAAGCAAGAAGUCAAUACUUAGAGUUAUUUAUUCUGAAAUCAUCAGACAGCUGAUAAUACUUGACACUUGCUUGCAUAUAGACUCUGAUUUAAGCCAAAAAAAAAUAUAGCAUGGAUGAUAGACUCCACACACACAUUGGAAUAUCAAUGUAUAAAAGCAUCAUAAA
rnacentral:misc_RNA from 1 species